rnacentral:miRNA from 1 species
ACUGAGAACGGUUCGAGUCGACU